AAAAGUGAAGCAUGAACACCCUGAAAACGGGGAAGAGGCAGCAGCUGUGACAGCCCAUGGAAGAGACUCACACAACUCUCCUGGCGAAUGCUGAUAAGCACAGGCUCAACGCUUCCCUGGAUUUAGCUGCGUGACUUCUGUUCCAAACAGCCCAAGAUCAGAAAUCCAGCUCAUCCAUGGAGCAGUUGCUCUGGAAUCCACUGCAUGUCUCCAGAGCAGAGAUCAGAUCUAAUGUGACAACCGCCAGGUGAAAAUCACAGAAGCAUAAGAUGAUGCGAUUUGAUUCCAAAGCAUAUUCUACACUCUCGUGUCAACAGCCGGACCAGGCAUCUGUGAGGCACAGACUCACAUGCAUGCUGAGAUGUCCUUCACCUUCAAACGUUCUCAUGAGCUUUGAAAGUCAGCGUCCUCAGCACAUUGCUAAAAACUAUCAUUUUAAAGAUAAAUUUCUCCAAAACAA